rnacentral:lncRNA from 1 species
CUCGUGAUGUAACCUACAGCGGCGGCCGAGGUGCGGGGUCUUGGUCGGUUUCGUGCCGGCGGGAGGGCGAAGGGUGGGCGGGGCCUCGGUUCCCAAAUUUGCCCCAGAGCGCGGUUGACAGGGUGCAGCCGGGAGAGGCCGCGCUGGGACGGAGAUAUAGUGGAAACGUUCCUGGAUGUUCAGGGCGCGCCGUCCCACCGGCUGCUGGCCAGAGCCCCGGGAAGGCGAGGAUGCACCUUCUCCCCUGCCUUGGAAAGACUGCUUGAUAUCCUGAGAAAUCUGCUUUCUGAUCAAAUUGAAAUAAUCCGAUGCAACAACUGAAUUGUCAGCAGGGGCUUCUGCCCAAGCACCAGUUGGAAAUUUCAGAGUCAUUGUCAAGAUCAGCCGCUCAGACCAUCCUGUCACCUAAGAUGUGGCUGGGAAUAAUGGCCUCAAGUUGGCCACACUCCAGUCUUCAGUACCUCACUAGGACCACCUGGCAGGCAGAAGAAUACCCCCUUUCCAAAGAGCGGCUCCCUGUCUCUCACAGCACUGCCUGAGCUCCACCUCCUGUCAGAAUUGCUGCUGCAUUCAAUUCUCAUAGGAGCGCAAACCUGACUGUGAACUGUGCAUGCGCAGGAUCUAGGUUGCCUCUCUUGUGAGAAUCUACUGCCUGAUGGAUGAUCUAAAGUGGUGCCGAAAUGAUGAUGCUCGCAUUGGGGCACGGAAUUGCUACACAUUGCAAACAUAUACCAAUAAAAAGAUAAACACUCCACUUCAUGGAAAAAGUGUCUCCCAUGACUGGUGCCAAGAAGUUUGGGGAUUGCUGCCCUACAGUGUCCACAAAGUGCUGGGGAUCACUGGGCCUUGGGCAUGUGAGGCAAGACCACUGGUUCUAUCCCAGGUCUUUUUUAUGGAGCUCAGGUUCAUCACAGACUUGUGGGUCUUGGCCCACUGAAUCUCAACAGACCACCGGGGAUCCCUCCACCAAGAUGAAGCCAGAGUGGCACUGACAUCUUGGACAGACCAGCCUGCUUGGAAACCUACCUAGCCUAGCUCUGGGCUCCUUCUUCUCACCCACAAAUAUUAAUGACUUCUUUAUGUAAAAGGAACGGCUGUAUCUUUUCUGCCAACCUACUUCCAUUUGGCUUGAGGGCCUGUGGAAGAGCAGCUUGACUGCUCUGAGGUUGUUCCUACCCUUCAUGGGCUGUGCGAUGGGGAACAAGCCUAUUUGAUGUGGUUCUUCCCUCCUCAGCUUUUGGCCUACCUGUCAAUCAUCCAGACACACCUAGAGCUUUGGUAAUCUGCUAGGCGUUCUUACCCAAGUCAAAUUGACGCAUCACAAUUAGUGAUCACCACAUGGCCCCUGGAUCUGGUUCCAGGCAAAAGAAGUACAGUAGUAGAAGCAGCUCUAGGGAUGGCAGCAGACUUCAUGAUGGCCCCUGGCUAGGUUUCCGGAGGAUGUGACGUUGAUACCAGCAGGGUUUUCAGGCUGCAGUGGCAUGAGUGGCCAGUGGACUUCCCAGGUCUUCUUCAGAUUCAAGAUGCAGACGUCAGCAUUUCCCUUUGUAGAGAUACUGUUCCAUCGGGAAGUCAAGGUUGAUGCCACCAGAGUGGGUUUGUUUUCCUUCAUUCUUCUCCUUUAUCAAGAACUCUGAACAUUGUGGAAAUUUCCCCUUAACGUACAACAAGAAUCCAGAACAAUCCCAUAUAGAGCCCUCUCUGGGCAAAGGAAAUGACUUAUUUUACUUAACUAAUUUUCUUUCCUUCUUUCUUUCUUUCUUUCUUUCUUUCUUUCUUUCUUUCUUUCUUUCUUUCUUUCUUUCUUUCAUCUCUCUUUUCCUUCCUCCAUCCUUCCUUCUUUCCUCUCCUUUUCUCUUUUCCCUUUUGUCUCUUUCCUUUCUCUCUCGGUCUCUCUCUCCUUUGUGUGUGUACUGGGAAUUUAACCCAGGGCCUUUGCACUGAGCUACCUCCCCAACCCUUUUUAAAAAAUGUCUUUAUUUUAAAGCACAAUCUCACUAGGUUGCUCAGGCUGGCCUCAAAGUCCAAGGCACAAGCGAUCCUUCAGUCUCAGCCUCCUGAGUGGCUGGAACUACAGGUGCCUGCCACUGUGCCCUACUUUUAAUUAACCUUCUACUGAAAAAUAAAGCAGAUUCGGAAAACCGUAUAAAACAAAUUAUUGUAAAGAGAACCUCUUUGUAAUUACCACCCAGGUCAAGAAAUAAAAUCAUCAGUCCCUUUGUGUCACCUCUGACCUCAGCCUUCUUCCAUCUACUAAGAGUUAC